CAGUGGUCUUCAUAGUACCUGCUUGCAUUGUGAAAGCUUGUUAGCAGAGAGAUUUCAGUGUGUACAGUGUGUAUAUAUAUAUAAUUUUCAUUAACCAUCAGUUGAAGGACAUUUACCUCAUUCCCAUUCCCUGAAUAUUGUGAGCAGAGUGACAAUGAGCAUGGCUAAGCAAGUGUCUGCACAGGAGGAUGGUGAGUUUGCUAGGUGAUUAUAGGUCUGUACCAAUGCCACUUCUGAAUCUCCCUACUCCCAAUGAGAGGGUAAGUUCCAUUUCAACCAGCAAAAUGAUGAAGAUUUCUCUUUUUUUGUCUCAUGGAGCUGCAGAAGAGGAGGACCUUUUCAUCUUCUUCAUAUAGAUAUAUACAUGAGGUAUAAUAAUAAACAGCACACAAAACUUUUUAA